rnacentral:lncRNA from 1 species
UGGGUAUUUGCUUGAUCUCGGUUUAUUGGGAGGAACAGAAACACCAAGCUCACCCAUGAAUACUUCAAUGAGGAGCACAGGCACCAGCUCUGACGGGAGUGACUGAGGGAGCUCCUGGUGAAAUGUGCCAAGGUUGCUGCAGUUGGAGAGGGGGCUCCACCAGCUCCACAUCCUGGGCAGACAGGAACACAGUCUCUUUCUGUAUCACACCCUUGUGCCAGGGCUGAUGACUCUCAGUUCAGGCAGACACUGUCAUCUAACGCCAGGCCACAAUGUCACCGAAAGCCAGGGAAAACACCUGUCCCGUGAUUCUUCACUGGAAUGGCUUCAGCAUGGAAUCUCUUCCCUCAGCUCAAUACAGACAACUUUGUGGCUCUCCUGUUCUCCAGUGUAGGAACACUGCUGCUUCAUAGAGAGAGGGGGAAUGGUUCUGCCUUACAGUACAUGCAGGUGGGAGUCCUCUGUGGUGGUGUCAGGUGAUUGGAUUAGUUCAACCUCAGACCCCAGAGGGAAUGAACAGGUGCCAUCACUGGGCUAGGCAAUCCCCUAAUCCUCAGGUUCCUAAAUGGCUCUCUGGACAAUGUGCAUGAGUCCUGGAGGGACUAAACCAGGACCGGACCAGCAAACAUGUCUUCAAAUUCCCACAGUUCAGAUGAUCUAUUCAAAGUGUGAAUAUUUACUAUUUUGAUUCAUCUCCAUGGAAGAGGAACCCACUAGCUGCUUCUAGUCAGCCAUCUUGAACCAGAAGCCCUUAUUUUACUUUUAUUUGUACUUUUUCUUUCAAAAAACUUUUUAAAUAUGUCAUUAAAAUGGUAAAUUUGCAAGUUUAAGUGAAAUCUAGUUUAGAAUUGAUGAAUUGUUAGUGAUGAUAUUCACAUCAUGAAAGUACUCAAUAGCAACUAGCCAAAGACAUUACUUUGAGGCAUGAAAAUAUCCUGUGUCUGUUUCUGCAAUAUAUGUUUAUUUCAGGAUAAAAAAAGAAAUUGUUUCUAUAAUGGAUUUUCACAUGGAACAAGUAAAAUGUUCUUGACUGAAUAUGUUGGCUGUCUUUUCUUCCAACAAACCAUUAGUUUACCAGUGUUGACAUUAGAAACAGCUCCUUACUAAAAAAUAAAAAUGUACCACCAAUGGAUCUCAGCUCUUAAGUGGAUUUCUAGUGACUAUGAUACUUGCAUGAAGUUCAGGGAUUGGAAUCUAU